GCCUGUCUAUUUAUGUUCCUCUUGAGUCAUCCUCCUCUUACAAAAGCACCAAUUAGAGAGCACCUCUGUCAUUUUUAUGCUUUGCUUUUAACUGUGUUGAGUAUGACUAUCACUGGAUCUUCAUUGCCAUGAAUUACAAUGUUUAGUCAGCCCUUGGUCUUUGAAGGUGCUCUGCAUUUAUGUUUUGCGGUCUCAGGAAGAGCUAGCGAGAUAC
rnacentral:lncRNA from 1 species